CAUGCCGCCAUGGCUGUGGCUGUGGUUUCUCUUGUUGGGCUUCCACAUUCCACAUUGGUUGAAAGUUUAUCGGGAUUUGCCGUGUUUCAGGGAUUUCAUGUAAACCAUACUUGAGGUGGAUUUCCGUGGGAUUCAAAUGCAAAAAAGGCUCGGAAAAUGAAACAGCUUUACACUACUCAAAUUUGUUUAAACAGGCAUGGCAUUUCCUCGUUUGAGUUCAUUUUGAAGGUGACCCUUCUGAGAAAUUCUAUCACAGUUCUAAAUGACCUCUCACACUUCAUGGAAUAUAAUGAAAAGGAGACUUGACUUUAAUCAUGUUUUGGUAGACAUUUCAUGCGUGAAAGAGCAUCGAGAGGAGGCAUCUCCUUUCCAAGAACUUAAAUUCUAUUAAGAUUAAUCAUGAAUGAGUUGCUAAUGUAUUUUUAGAAUCAUGAAUGAAAUAAUA